rnacentral:rRNA from 1 species
AGUGAACGCUGGCGGUAGGCCUAACACAUGCAAGUCGAACGGCAGCACAGUAAGAGCUUGCCCUUACGGGUGGCGAGUGGCGGACGGGUGAGGAAUACAUCGGAAUCUACUUUUUCGUGGGGGAUAACGUAGGGAAACUUACGCUAAUACCGCAUACGACCUACGGGUGAAAGCAGGGGAUCUUCGGACCUUGCGCGAUUGAAUGAGCCGAUGUCGGAUUAGCUAGUUGGCGGGGUAAAGGCCCACCAAGGCGACGAUCCGUAGCUGGUCUGAGAGGAUGAUUCGGCCCCCUGGAACCGAGGCACGGUUCCGACUUCUACGGGAGGCCGCCGGGGGGAAUAUUUGACCAUGGGGGGAAGCCCUAUCCAGCCCUACCGCGUGGGUGAAGAAGGCCUUCGGGUUUUAAAGCCCCUUUGUUUGGAAAGAAAAGCCGCCGGGUUAAACCCCGCCUUUCUGACGGUACCCAAAGAAUAAGCACCGGCUAACUUCGUG